UACGUAGGUGGCAAGCGUUGUCCGGAUUUACUGGGCGUAAAGAGCGCGCAGGCGGUCGUUUUAAGUCGAAUGUGAAAGCCCCCGGCUCAACUGGGGAGGGUCACUCGAUACUGAUCGACUCGAAGGCAGAAGAGGGAAGCGGAAUUCCCGGUGUAGUGGUGAAAUGCGUAGAUAUCGGGAGGAACACCAGUGGCGAAGGCGGCUUUCUGGUCUGCUCUUGACGCUGAGGCGCGAAAGCUAGGGUAGCAAACGGG
rnacentral:rRNA from 1 species